rnacentral:lncRNA from 7 species
GUAGUUAACACAGAACAGCACGGUGAUAUCAGUGCAGACAUGGAAUGCGGGGAACAAGACAGCAUCAUUUUUUCUCUUCUCUGUGAGGAGAAUCUGGGACCAAAUGUUUGCUGAGGCUGUGCCAAAAAUGAAGGGAAGGGAAAACAAGAAUGUAUUCCUGGAGUGCAAGCUAAAAUCAACAUGGCAUAAGAAAGGCAAUGAAGCUGGAGCUUAACUAAUUACUGUGUCUCUGCUGGUGAAGCUGUGUUAGCUUGUCUAACCCAGUCCACUCCAUAGUGGAGUUCUCCCUCUGAAAAAUGUGAACUGACAGAAGCACUCCUUUCUACCAUUAGCCAAGAGAAGGUUAUUGAUGUAGCUGUAUGAAACUGGAGGAGGAACAAGAGAGAGAGGUCACAGAGUCCACAAAGAAUUUAAAAGCUGAGAGUUCCACAUAGAAAAGCAGCCAUGAGGACUGGAGCUGAUUUCUUACGGAUCUGCUUGUUAUAUUCAGGAAAUGUAUUUUCAGACAGCUGCGACAUUGUUUAGUGGUUAAUGGAGUGGAGCUCUUUGGGGAGAGGGAAUGGAGAAGGAAUGUUGAAAGUUAAGACACUUCUGAAAUCAGAUGGCUAAACGUGGGAGCAUCUUCCAUACAUUUCCAUAGAAAUCUUGCUACAAAAGCGAAUCUGACUACUGAAAUGCUCUUUGAAAAUGGAUACCUUAAUGCAAAUAAUUGGUAGUGAUAUAAAAAGGGAAUUGAUAGCAUUACAAGAUUGAAGAGAAACAAAUGGAGUUUGGAGGGAAGAAAGAACUGCAGUAGAAGGUUGACUUGAUGAUAUAACCAUCAUUUGAGCAAAAAGCUUGAAUAUUGCGUUGUCAAUGUCUUUGAUUGAAUUAAUGGAUGUAUUAAAUAUGCAGGUGGGACAUUUCAGCAAUAUUUCUUCAGACAUUUCUGGAUCCUUUAAAUCAAAAUUUCAGCACGCUAAUAAAUAUACAGUGCUUAGAGGCAUUUUUGCCUUGAGAUUAAUGGAAUUGCUUUGUAUUACUUAGAAGCAAUAAAGGUAUCAACUCUUUGAACUAAUAAUGUAGGGCAGAGUUGUGGAGCCCAAGAACUCAGACUUCAGUGGGGGUUUCUGUGGUAGAAUCUUAACCACAGAAUCAGAAUCUAAUGGAGCAAUAAAGCAUAUUCAGGGAAGCUAAAAUAACUUGAGGCAACAAAAAUAGAAAUGCACAAAUUACCAGCUAUAAAAAAAAAACAACUAUGAUACUUAUUUUGCCAUCAAUGGCUGUUCUAAUUUUUACUUUUGUGAUUGGCUAUGAUUGUCUACAUCUAUUAUUUUCCAUCUCUGCACUGUGAUUUCUAAAUGUGGCAUUUUAUUGAAAUUCUAAUGGCUUAGAGAAGCACUAAGUUAUUUGAUGUAUAGUGGUGUUGAAUUAUGUGCACAGAUUUAGAAAUGUAGAUUAUACACACAUUUCCUGAAAUAAAAAAAACCCCUACAUUUAUUUUCCUUUUAAAUGC